rnacentral:rRNA from 1 species
CCCUUAGAUGUUCUGGGCCGCACACGCGCUACACUGAAGGAGGCAGCGUGUACUCCUGGAUCGAAAGAUUUGGGUAACCCGCGAAUCUCCUUCGUGCUAGGGAUUGAGGUUUGCAAUUAUCCUUCAUGAACGAGGAAUUCCCAGUAAGUGCAAGUCAUAAGCUUGCGCUGACUACGUCCCUGCCCUUUGUACACACCGCCCGUCGCUACUACCGAUUGAAUGAUUUAGUGAGGACUUCGGACUGGGACCGAUGCGGCUUUCGGGCUGUGUCGGUAUUCUGGGAAGAUGUCCAAACUGUAUCAUUUAGAGGAAGUAAAAGUCGUAACA